GUGUUUGGGGCGGGCGGCUUCGGUAUGAUGGGAUCCUUGGCGAGUUAUCGGCCGUCGUGCGGCAUGGCAUUCUCGGUGGAUCGC
rnacentral:ribozyme from 1 species